AAUGUUCUUUCGGGAACAGGACAGUGGCGCACGGGUGAGUAACGCGUGGGAAUCUACCAUGGAGUGGGGGAUAACAUUUGGAAACGAAUGCUAAUACCGCAUACGCCCUACGGGGGAAAGAUUUAUUGCUCUAUGAUGAGCCCGCGUUAGAUUAGCUAGUUGGUGAGGUAAUGGCUCACCAAGGCGACGAUCUAUAGCUGGUCUGAGAGGAUGAUCAGCCACACUGGGACUGAGACACGGCCCAGACUCC
rnacentral:rRNA from 1 species